rnacentral:rRNA from 1 species
UCGGGAAUUUUGGGCAAUGGGCGAAAGCCUGACCCAGCAACGCCGCGUGAGGGAUGAAGUAUUUCGGUAUGUAAACCUCGAAAGAAUGGGAAGAAUAAAUGACGGUACCAUUUAUAAGCUCCGGCUAACUACGUGCCAGCAGCCGCGGUAAUACGGAGGGAGCAAGCGUUGUUCGGAUUUACUGGGCGUAAAGGGCGCGUAGGCGGCGCGGUAAGUCACUUGUGAAAUCUCUGAGCUUAACUCAGAACGGCCAAGUGAUACUGAUGUGCUAGAGUGCGGAAGAGGCCACCGGAAUUCUUGGUGUAGCGGUGAAAUGCGUAGAUAUCAAGAGGAACACCUGAGGCGAAGGCGGGUUGCUGGGCCGACACUGACGCUGAUGCGCGAAAGCCAGGGGAGCAA